GAUGAACGCUGGCGGCGUGCCUAACAUAUGCAAGUCGAGCGAUUCUCUUCGGAGAAGAGCGGCGGACGGGUGAGUAACGCGUGGGUAACCUGCCUCAUACACAUGGAUAACAUACCGAAAGGUAUGCUAAUACAAGAUGAUAUAAGAGAUUCGCAUGGAUUUUUUAUCAAAGCUCCGGCGGUAUGAGAUGGACCCGCGUCUGAUUAGCUAGUUGGUAAGGUAACGGCUUACCAAGGCGACGAUCAGUAGCCGACCUGAGAGGGUGAUCGGCCACAUUGGAACUGAGACACGGUCCAAACUCCUACGGGAGGCAGCAGUGGGGAAUAUUGCACAAUGGGCGAAAGCCUGAUGCAGCAACGCCGCGUGAGCGAUGAAGGCCUUCGGGUCGUAAAGCUCUGUCCUCAAGGAAGAUAAUGACGGUACUUGAGGAGGAAGCCCCGGCUAACUACGUGCCAGCCGCCGCGGUAACAC
rnacentral:rRNA from 1 species